AUAAAUAUGAGAGCUCCAUAUUAAUCAUAUUAAUAUAUGAUUUUUAUAUUUAUUAAGAUCCUCAAUUUAUAAAAUGUCAAAAAGGAAAACUACUUCUCUUUUUCCAAAAUUAUUUAUAUCGAUAUGCUUAUCAAAAAGAUGAUAGAAUACACUAUCGUUGCAGAAAGGUUGGCUGCAAGGUUUCAUGUAAAUUUGAUGGAAUUUACACAACCUCUGGUUUGCAUGAACACCAAAAUGAAAUCAGUCAGUUUGAAAAACUGAGAACUCACAAGGUUCUAGAGGAUAUUGUUGCCGAAAAUCCUCUAGAGACAAGGCACAAUAUUUAUGGAAAGGCCUUGAAUAAUAGAUGCCUGGAAACGCCCUCCAUCGAAAUGUAUCCAGAGGCAAUGCCCUCAUUUGUUUCAAUUAAGAGUACAAUUGACAGAUUGUUACAAAAAAAUCGGCCCAUUUUGCCUCAAUCUGUGGAUGAACUAGUAUUAUUACCAGAAUACAUCACCACAAAUAAGGGGGAGAUUUUUUAAAUUAAUAAUGAUAAUAAUAAUAUGCUGGUGUUUAAUACAUGUGAAAUGCUAAAACUUGUAGAAAUAUGUGAUGGUGAUAGCAUUUACAUGGACGGCACCUUUUAUGUUGUUCCUCGACUGUACUGUCAAUUGUAUAGUAUCCAUAUAAUGUAUCAAGAAGUUAUGAUACCGAUUAUAUAUGCCCUCCUCCCCGAUAAAAAUAGAGGGACAUAUAUUGAAUUAUUUCAAAUUAUCUCGCAAUUUUGCUCGAUGAAAAAUAUCCGAUUCAAACCUCGAUUUGGACAAACUGAUUACGAGGCCGCAGCUAUAUCGGCACUUAGGUUUGUUUUUUCCAAUAUGUUCAUAAAAGGCUGUUUUUUUCACUAUUCCCAGGCUCGCGUAAAUGUCCGGCGCUGGGUUUAGUUAGCAGUUAUUUGCAUAAUACUACUAUUCAUAAAGUUGUUAGACGAAUGACCACUUUGCCGUUUUGCAAAGAAGAACAUAUUUCCGAGGUACGGGCAUCAUGCCAUGCUCUGUCUGCUGAAUAUCCUUUGCUCAAAAAUUUUAUGGAUUUUACAUGGCUCGGAGUUAAUGCCAUAUUCCCCCGAAAUAUAUGGACCAGGUAUCAGGUUGACGGCCCUAGAACUAACAACCACCUGGAGGGGUAUCAUCAUGCCCUCAAGAGAAAAACAAACGUGGCUCAUCCGAAUAUUUAUUGUCUGAUAAAUAUUUUAAAAAGACAUUAACAUUCGAGUGAGCUUAAGGUCUUACAAAUUAAUAGUGGGUUGAACGUGAGGAGAAAAAAUAAAAAAUUCGAUCAAUUAAAUAUUAACAUUGAUAAUCUAACUCGUAUAUACGAGCGUACAAAUGAAAUAUAUCCUUUUUUAGAUAAUGUUUCAUAUUUUAUAAAACAACAAUC